UUGGGGCGGGCCGGAUUAGAUACCCUGGUAGUCCACGCCGUAAACGAUGUCAACUAGCCGUUGGGAGCCUUGAGCUCUUAGUGGCGCAGCUAACGCAUUAAGUUGACCGCCUGGGGAGUACGGCCGCAAGGUUAAAACUCAAAUGAAUUGACGGGGGCCCGCACAAGCGGUGGAGCAUGUGGUUUAAUUCGAAGCAACGCGAAGAACCUUACCAGGCCUUGACAUCCAAUGAACUUUCCAGAGAUGGAGUGGUGCCUUCGGGAGCAUUGAGACAGGUGCUGCAUGGCUGUCGUCAGCUCCKGUCUUGCCAGGUUGG
rnacentral:rRNA from 1 species